GCGAUACAUAUUUCCUUUAAACAGUUAUGUUAUGGGUAUCAUGAGAAACUAAAUUUUCAUCUUCGUAAAGGAGGGUUCUUUUUUAAUCGUCUUUCUUGGAAUUUCUUCAAAUCAUGAAUUCAACUUGCAUAAAUGGAUAAGAAAAGUUGGUUGUAAGAAUCUAUAGAUAUAUAUUUAGCAUGUUUCUUUUAUUUAAACGAAUAUUCCUUUUAGAAGCGAGUAAGCUUCAAGUCGUAUAGAACGCAGACGAUAUUAAGCCUAAUAGGAUCUUUAACGCUUAACUUAAUAGCAAGCACAAUGAGUUUUAGAUAGCUGAGUACUUUAAAGCAACCUAACUUCCCUUGCAGCUAAAAAAGUUUAUUGAACUUGAUUUAAGACGCUCUUCUUGGACUGAGCAAGGACUUCAAAAAAGCCCGCAUUCGUUGUCAAAGUUUUAUCUCAUCUAACGACUAAAGUAAUAUGAGUCAAUGCUCAUAUAAUAUACAGUCGAAUAUUUUUUAUAUUUUAUUACAUUUAUUUUCCCAAGUAGUUUUUCC